UGUAUGGGAGCUGACUUUGCAAAGCUUCAAAUGACUUUCUUUAUCCAUUACUUGGUCACAAAAUACAGGUGGAAAGUAGUUGGUGGAGGAGACAUAAUUCGAAGACCUGGCUUAGUGUUCCCAAAUGGACUACCAAUUGAAAUCUCCGAAAAGGACAAGUGAUAAGAAGCUGCAACGCUGCUUUAAGAUAUCCCAGCUCUAAAGAAUAAAGAUGGGAAUGUAACCUCAAUCUGUGAGGAACAUGAAUAAAUGUGUGUGUUUUUUUAUUUCGAAUGAAUAACAUGAUUAAAAAUAUAUACUAAGCUGAUGCCAAUGCUCAAUAUAUAAUUAAGUGAUCACUUAUUUAUUUA